UUCUCAUUUCUCUCUUAUAUAUUUGAAAGUGCAAGUAUUCCUACUCUUCUCUUUUAUUUAAAGAGCAAGUAUUUCAAUUUCUUUUGAUAAUGCAAGUAUUUCUAUUCUUCUCUUAUUUAUUAAGAGCAAGUGAUUUAUUCCACAAUUAUUAAUUAUUGCCAAUGCAAUUAUUAUAUUCUGUAUUUCAAUUCAUAGAAUAUCAUAUGCUUUGGAUUUAAUUAUUGUUCGAUAUUCCAUACACCAUACAGAUACUCAAUAAUGAUUGAAUUCAAUACAUUCCAAUGAUUGAAUUCCCUACAUUCUAGUAAUCAUUCUACUAGAAUUCUCAAAUUACUUCUAAGAUAGAUAGUGAAAAACUAUGCUAUCCAGAUAUACUCCAAACAGUACAAGAGUUGAAAUUCAUAAUUAGCAAAUAACUAAUUAUUCUAGUUAUGUUGCCAUCAGUUGAUAUGACUACUCCGGACCAUGUGAAAUGGCGAGUUUGUUGAUCGAGAGAGUUGAGUGAUUCAACUCCCUAAGAAAAUAAAACGUUUUUGCGUAAGAGGCCGGGACGGCGGUCCAGUGAAGGGCUAUUUGGGUAUUAUUGAAAUAUGAUAAUACUUUUCUGCCAAAGGCCAAUGUGUUGCCUUAUAUUUGGUACCUGUGAAUUAGGACAUGCUUCUACGAAGUGUGAUCCCGUACUAUUACACGUGCUGAUCAGCUGUGAUAGUACACCCGUCAGUGGAAGUUUCAAUCAAAAUUUAUGAUUUGAUUACUUAAGCUAAUAUUGCUUUUGUUUUCCAUUGGAUACUAUUGUUUCUUAUCUCUUUACUUCCAGAAGGAUAGCACUUAUUAAUGCUUUACAUUUAAGCAUUUUAUAUAUAUAUAUUGUUGAGCCUUCUAGUUGCUCAUUCUUCCUUUGUUGUUGCUGUGCUAAUCUUUGAGUUACAACUGUUAUGAUUUACUUCAAAAGUUUGCUUUAUUUCAAAUACUCUAAUUUCAUUCAAAAGAAAUUAUAUCUUGUGGCUCUUGCCUUUCUUAUUAUCUUGCUGAGCAUUUUCGCUCACUCUUGCUAUUAUUUCUAACCCUUUCAGCUAGGGAUUGAGAUGUCACCUGUAUAAGCUGCGCGUAAGAUUGAUGCUAGGCGAGAUUGCCAGGGAGAUGUUUGCAAGAGUAGUUCUGGUUAGAGUUGAUUUAUUCCAGUUUAGUUGUAUAAUAAUUUAUUUAUUGGUUAUCAGUUACUCUUCUUAUCGAGGUCUAACUGGUAAUGUAGUUUAAGUUGUAAUAAGAUUUAAAGUUUUAGUUUCUGAUUUCAGUGUUGUAACCUAUUAGCGAUCCUGUUUUUAGGGGGUCAAAGGGAUUUUAGUUUUAAUCUCUUUUAAAAUGUUCAGAUUUUCAAAUAUCUGUUUUACCUUCUUCCGCAAAAUACAGGUUUUUAAAUGAUUUUGUUUUAGUGGCACCAAAUCCAGACCCCCGGAUUUUGGGGGCUGUCACAGUUGGUAUCAGAGCUAUAGGUUAUAAGUUAUUGAAAUCAGAAUGUAGAGUGUGAUAGGAUUUUGUUUAGUGGAACCUCAUAUAGAGGUAAGUCAAGACUAUUGGUUAUAGUCUUUGUUGAUGGAACUGAGACUGAGUUUGGAGUAAUGAUUCUGAGUAAUCAUUUUGGGUAUAUCCUAGUUUCCAUAUCUAGAGCUAGUGAGUUUGGAUCUCAAGAGAAACAUUAGUACACCUUUAGUUGCCAAUCUCUCAGAGCUUGAUGUUGACUUUCUGACUAACCAUUGCCAGCUAGACUUGUGGAGAAACCUAUCUAGUCUAGAAUGUUCCUUGUCAUCUCUACCACUUUUGAGUGUUUGUUCGAGGGUCAUCUAUUGUUUCUAUAGAGACAUAUAAAAUAAGUAUGAGAAUUGUUGGGUCAGAGUAAGAAAGGUAUAUAGUUCUCGGUUUGAGAGCUUAUAUAGAUUUCGUGUUAAAAUACUAGAUAUAGUGCUAUGAGUAGGCUAGAACGUCAACGCUCUACAAUGUUGAUUGUAUAAAGUUGAAGAUGGCUUCUUAUCGUGUCAAGCUGGAUAGGACUUUUUACUAAAGUAGAUAGCGGUGGUGGAAUCUUUGGAGUCGUGUACGAAUCGGCCAGAAUAUUAGAACAUCGAGAAGAACUGCUAGAAUCGAAACGAGCCAGAGGAAUCAGUCAAGAAGGCAUCUGUGAAAAUCUUGGUAAUACCUUCCUCAUUCGUUGAUUAUAUUGAUUAUUUUUCUCCUUAGUGAAUUGUUUUGAUAUCUCUUUCAUAGAGGUAUUUGAUGAAGUAUCAGUUUCUCUUUUGCGUAAGUUAUCAAAUGAUGCUUAUGGUUAUUGUAUCUUUUUUUGACUAUUCUUUUCAUCGAACCUAGCACUUUUGAAAUCUAUCGAUUUUGACAUCUUUUCAUAGAGAUUUUUAUUAGAAAUUAUAUCUUCUCUCUCAUGAGUUAUAGAAUGAUACUUUUGCUUACAAUAUCAUUAUCAAUUAUUCUUUUCAUCGGAAUUAGUACCUUUGCUAUGUAUUCAUUUCUGAACCUAGAAUGUCUCAUUCAUCAAAAGACAAUCAUUGUUAGUUGAUUUCUGAACUUCUCUCAUAUUUUUUUUACUCUAACUGAGAUGAACAACCCUACUUAUAGGGGACACAAGGACUAUCUGUCUGUGUGAUAGAAGUUUGAUGGGACGCCAUCACUUGUGUGUUGUGCAUUACAAGAAGGCUAAAUACCUUUAGUAGUAUCUUUGUUAAGAUACGCAACAUUAAGUUCUCUUGAUCAUAUUGAUCUCUCAGUAAUUUUUAAUUCCAAAUUAGUUUUUCUCUGCAAAAUCAUACUAUACCCUUUGCCUUGAUAUCUAAAAUCUGAUAAAUUCUAAGAUUCCAUGAUUCUUAUUUUUCGACCAAUUUUGAGGGUAUGCCAGCUAAAUUUGAACGAGCUAAUGCAACCAAUACAUUUCAAGAUUUCGCAUAUAACUACAACUACAGAAGCGGAUCACGAUGCUACUUGCAAGCAAUAGCAUGCUCUAGUUCUCUCUUCGCUGAUUCCGAGGACGGAAUCCUUAUAAGGGGGAAGUCUGUAACGACUCGAGUUUUUCGACAAUUAUUAAUUAGUUUGGUAUUAAUUUUCUAAUAGAGGAAUAAAAUUUUAUAUUUUAUUUUAUUUUGUUGGUUUUCAAAAAUGACUUUAUGAGUUUCAUAUAUUGUUUUGAACAAUUCUAAAUGAUUAUUAUGUGAAUAUAUGUGUUAUGUGAUUAAGUGAUACUGGUGGAAUUGUUCGAUAAUUAAUUAUAGUUAAUUAUGAUUAUUAUGUGAUUAUAUUCUUGAGAGUCGGUGUAUUUCAUUUUAAUUUGAUCGUCGAGCUGUGUUAUCGAUUUCUAUUUGUUAUAAAUUUUAUAGUGAAUGGAUUUUAUAAAAUUGUGUAUUGCUUAUAAAAUCAUUUUUAUCGCUUUAUAAUUUCAUUAAAUAUUUUUAGAGAUUUAUAAAAUUCAUAGAAUGAUAUUUUGUUAAUUUUUCAGCUCUAAAUGAUUUUCUGUGUAGUUUCAAGUGGGGUGUUUCUAUUAAUUUCAAAAAUCAUGAAAAUCAUAUUUUAUUAGUUUUUAAAUAUUUUAAGAUUUUUAAAAUUAUUUCGGUAUUUAUCUGGAUCAUUUUAUCUGCGAGUUUGUUCGUUAAUUUGUUAAAUCAGUCCGAGAUCAGGCUGGCCAGUAGGAGGAUACGUGUCCUUUAUUCGGAAACGUGGCACCACAGUAUAGAUUCAGUUUAUAAGUUUUGUUUUAAAAUUACAUAUACUCCCUUUUCUCUUCCCUGUACCCACUGUCUCUCACCUCUCUCUGAAUCUCUCUCCUCUCAAUCGCUCUUUCUCAAAUCUCUCCCUCACCAUCUCUCUCCACUCUCCUUCAUCUCUCUUUCCCGCCGCUCUCUCUCUCGGCUUUCCCUCUCCCUCGGUCGUCUCUCCCCGUCGACCCUCUCUCCAUGCCGCCUCUCUCCCCGAACAACACCGCCCGUCGCCGCCUCCUUUUCCGGCCGUUCAGCCGCCGCCGCCGGCCGAUCGAGCAUUGAGGGCGUGAUACCAAGCAAAGGCAAGAAAAGGUGAGAGUUGUAUAGCGGUUCAGUAGUUACGGAUUGUUCGAGACGAGUAGAACCAGACAUUGGGGAUCAAGACUGAACUUAGAUAAGAUUCGUAUCAGGCUGCAGUAACCGCAUGAGCGACAUAGCAAAGAAUCAGGAAUAGUUGAUGGUGAUGUCUUGAGAAAGCAGAAUAAGAUAAGGAUGUUAGCUAAGAGUGUAAAAGCUAAGGACCAAAGGAUCGAGCAUUGAGGGCGUGAUACCAAGCAAAGGCAAGAAAAGGUGAGAGUUGUAUAGCGGUUCAGUAGUUACGGAUUGUUCGAGACGAGUAGAACCAGACAUUGGGGAUCAAGACUGAACUUAGAUAAGAUUCGUAUCAGGCUGCAGUAACCGCAUGAGCGACAUAGCAAAGAAUCAGGAAUAGUUGAUGGUGAUGUCUUGAGAAAGCAGAAUAAGAUAAGGAUGUUAGCUAAGAGUGUAAAAGCUAAGGACCAAAGGCAAGUAUUCUCAUUUCUCUCUUAUAUAUUUGAAAGUGCAAGUAUUCCUACUCUUCUCUUUUAUUUAAAGAGCAAGUAUUUCAAUUUCUUUUGAUAAUGCAAGUAUUUCCAUUCUUCUCUUAUUUAUUAAGAGCAAGUGAUUUAUUCCACAAUUAUUAAUUAUUGCCAAUGCAAUUAUUAUAUUCUGUAUUUCAAUUCAUAGAAUAUCAUAUGCUUUGGAUUUAAUUAUUGUUCGAUAUUCCAUACACCAUACAGAUACUCAAUAAUGAUUGAAUUCAAUACAUUCCAAUGAUUGAAUUCCCUACAUUCUAGUAAUCAUUCUACUAGAAUUCUCAAAUUACUUCUAAGAUAGAUAGUGAAAAACUAUGCUAUCCAGAUAUACUCCAAACAGUACAAGAGUUGAAAUUCAUAAUUAGCAAAUAACUAAUUAUUCUAGUUAUGUUGCCAUCAGUUGAUAUGACUACUCCGGACCAUGUGAAAUGGCGAGUUUGUUGAUCGAGAGAGUUGAGUGAUUCAACUCCCUAAGAAAAUAAAACGUUUUUGCGUAAGAGGCCGGGACGGCGGUCCAGUGAAGGGCUAUUUGGGUAUUAUUGAAAUAUGAUAAUACUUUUCUGCCAAAGGCCAAUGUGUUGCCUUAUAUUUGGUACCUGUGAAUUAGGACAUGCUUCUACGAAGUGUGAUCCCGUACUAUUACACGUGCUGAUCAGCUGUGAUAGUACACCCGUCAGUGGAAGUUUCAAUCAAAAUUUAUGAUUUGAUUACUUAAGCUAAUAUUGCUUUUGUUUUCCAUUGGAUACUAUUGUUUCUUAUCUCUUUACUUCCAGAAGGAUAGCACUUAUUAAUGCUUUACAUUUAAGCAUUUUAUAUAUAUAUAUAUUGUUGAGCCUUCUAGUUGCUCAUUCUUCCUUUGUUGUUGCUGUGCUAAUCUUUGAGUUACAACUGUUAUGAUUUACUUCAAAAGUUUGCUUUAUUUCAAAUACUCUAAUUUCAUUCAAAAGAAAUUAUAUCUUGUGGCUCUUGCCUU